GUCAGAGUGAUGUAGUGGUUUGAGCACUGGACUAUGAUUCCAGAGAACAGAGUUCAAAUUCUGCUCAGCUA